ACACUCCACAAGCCUCUAUAGCACACGCACAGGUCUACAAGAACCAAACACAAGUCCAGGUGAGUACAAUAAACACGCAGCCCUUUUGUAAAUUUUUCUCUACGCUUAAACAAAAAGCCAAAUCUUCCCUGCAUCACACCACGCCUCUUCACCAGCUUCGACCAUCAGUCCUGAACAUCCCCAAUCUCGCCAAUGGUCACGUUUUAUGUAAUUUCGAAAGAAUAGGAAAGAAACCAAGUGAAAACAAGUCAAAAAGAGGCCAAAUUGAAGAAAUGAGAAAAGAGGCUAAAAGGGCAAAAACGGCCUAGAUCUGCAAAACUGAAUAUUUGGGGCAGUUUUGGUCAUAUUUUGAUGUGAAAAAAUUGGGGAGCUAUAAGAGCAUGACUUAAGGAGCAAUUAUUCUCAUCUUUGGUUACAUUUCAAGCUUGGAAGCUAGGGUUCAUCAUCAACCACGAGGAGAAGAUUGGAGCACUUUAAUGAGAAAUUUCUUAACCCUUUCUUCAAUUUCUUGCUUUGUAUUGUAUAUCUAAGUGUGUAGAAUUUUAUUUCAACACUUUAGGAAUAUCUAAGUGUGUAGAAUUUUAUUUCAACACUUGGGGCUUUAAACCCAAUCUAAUAAUUUGAGCUAGGAAUAGGAAAGUUAACUUGAGAUUCAAUUAGUAGUGCUAAUAUCACACUAUAAUGCUUGAAAAAGUUUAGAGUGAAAUUCAUUGAUUUAGUUGGAAGACUUUUAUUGAGAUUUUAGAAAUCAUUAUCUAUUAACAUAAA